rnacentral:rRNA from 1 species
AUGCUGAAGCACAUUGGCAUUGAGCCAAGGCAGAUUGUAUACAUGCACAAGCUAAAUAUCGGUUGCAAGAGGUUGGAUGAAGAUGCAACACAUUCAUGUAAUUAUGUUGCUCCUGCACUGUGUUUAUGCACAUUUUUUAGUAUGAAUCACUACACGCUGGAGAAGUUCCUGGAGGCGAUCAGGAGCAGAGGCAUCAAGAUAUGCCCUGGGUGCAAUGCCUCGCAGGCUGUAGCACCUGCCCAGUUAUGCAUAUGUCGGCAAGACAAGUUUUGCCUGCUCUGCUUCAUAUCAGUCUCUUCUCAUCGCGGCCAGAGCUUGGAAGCAAUUCAACUAGGCACCAUGACGCUGGAUGGAAGUUCUUAUAUAUGGUCUCUAGAAACACUCGCACGCAGACUCUCUGCCCUCGUUCGCCCGCCGCCGCCCUUCGUCCCUUCGCCACCGCCGCUCCAUGCCUUCGCCGCUGCCCUCGCCCAUCACUCAGUUUGUUAUAUGGACAUGUCGUUAAUCUUUUAUUUUUGUCAAUUUACAUUGCAAAAAUGGACUUCAAUUAUUCAAUAA